GAUGAUGGGGAAUUGUGCAUCGCGAAGUGGGUGUCGGCACGUAACCACAUUGUCGACAUCCAUGAGCAUGACGACCCCCUGUACUCAGUUUGCUACCAUGGUCCGCUUUCGGAACCACGACAGUGGCUCAAAGAAGACUGUACAUCAAUCCUCACUGGCGAGGUGUUGUCUCGCAUAGAAAAACACCUAAAUGAGCCUGUUUCUGUGGAAAUUGGACCACCACGUGCAGCAACAUAUGGUGAAAGACCAUCUUUGGCACAAGCUGUGGAAAAGCACCAGGCCAGGUUCCAGAAGUGAGGGUUGUGACCACCUCACACGCUGACACUUCAGACCCCUCAGAAACCAUGACAAAGAAGAAGAACAAAAAAAGGCCCUUUUCAGGGCCACCCAAUGCUUUACACAGAGACAAGCGUUGCUUUUUGAUAAACACAUUCUGCAUGCUAAUAUAUGAAACCAGUUUUACAUAUUCAUACAACUAAAGUAUUGUGGCACUACCUAUAGACUGUUUAGAAGUAAAGGUGUUGAAAAAAUAGCAGUAUUGAACUAAUUGAAAUCGUUUUUUAUUUUAUUUUUAUUUUCAGAAGAAGUCUUGGAGAACCUGCAACAAUGCUGAAGUCAUGAGAGCUCUGGAACAUUCACCAACAGUGGUGGCACCCAACAGGAGGUCUCAGCUACGCCGCUUUCCUGGCUUGUAUUUUAUGUACAGAGUACAUUCCCUAAUCUAGGGAGUGAGAUUCGUUCAUUUCACUCUGCAUGGCAAAAUAAGUGUCUUUCAACAGCUUUGUGCGGUAUUGGGGAAGGAUUGCUAGAGGGGAUGUAGUAAGAUGUGGUUGUAUCCCGUGGGCCCUUCCUUGAUCUUUUACACACGGUGAUAACACAAUAGCCAACAGAAUUGGGCAUAAAAUAUUGCUACAGUGUUCUAUCUUUGCCACCAAAUAAGCCCAACACGUAUCUACAGAUUUCGACAAAAGUUCCAACAGAACACAGGGUUGGCAUCUAUAUCUUCUUAGGAGUGUCACCUUCGCCGCAAAAUUCA